AAGAAGCCUUUGAUUAUCAAAUGUAUUUCAUAAUUGUUUGUUCCCAAAAGACAUUAGAAAUACACAAUGACAAUGGUUUAUAUAUAGUACGUGCAUAGUAGUUAAUAAUUAAAAAAAACAUAAUCAUCUGGACGGAUAUUUAAAAUAACAACAUAAUCAUCUGGAUGGUCGCUGGAACGGUCUUGCAACAUUAGGACAUUUCCUACGCAUGUGUCCUAUUUCACGGAAAAUCCCACACCUUCUCUUUUCCUU
rnacentral:lncRNA from 1 species